GCCGAGAUGGCGGAACUGGCAGACGCGGCGGCCUCAAAAGCCGUUAAUCGCAAGAUUGUGUGGGUUCAACUCCCACUCUCGGCACCA
rnacentral:tRNA from 1 species